rnacentral:rRNA from 1 species
AUGAACGCUGGCGGCGCGCCUAACACAUGCCAGUCGAACGAUUAAAGCACCUUCGGGUGUGUAUAAAGUGGCGAACGGCUGAGUAACACGUGGGCAACCUGCCCCUUUCAUUGGGAUAGCCACGGGAAACCGUGGAUAAUACCGAAUACUUCGAGACUUCCGCAUGGAAGACUCGAGAAAGCUCCGGCGGAGAGGGAUGGGCCCGCGGCCUGUUAGCUUGUUGGUGGGGUAACGGCCUACCAAGGCAAUGAUGGGUAGCUGGGUUGAGAGACCGACCAGCCAGAUUGGGACUGAGACACGGCCCAGACUCCUACGGGAGGCAGCAGUGGGGAAUCUUGCACAAUGGGCGAAAGCCUGAUGCAGCGACGCCGCGUGCGGGAUGAAGGCCUUCGGGUUGUAAACCGCUUUCAGCAGGGACGAGGCGAAAGUGACGGUACCUGCAGAAGAAGCCCCGGCUAACUACGUG